AGACCCGAAACCCGGUGAUCUAGCCAUGGGCAGGUUGAAGGUUGGGUAACACUAACUGGAGGACCGAACCGACUAAUGUUGAAAAAUUAGCGGAUGACCUGUGGCUGGGGGUGAAAGGCCAAUCAAACCGGGAGAUAGCUGGUUCUCCCCGAAAGCUAUUUAGGUAGCGCCUCGUGAAUUCAUCUCCGGGGGUAGAGCACUGUUUCGGCUAGGGGGCCAUCCCGGCUUACCAACCCGAUGCAAACUGCGAAUACCGGAGAAUGUUAUCACGGGAGACACACGGCGGGUGCUAACGUCCGUCGUGAAGAGGGAAACAACCCAGACCGCCAGCUAAGGUCCCAAAGUCAUGGUUAAGUGGGAAACGAUGUGGGAAGGCCCAGACAGCCAGGAUGUUGGCUUAGAAGCAGCCAUCAUUUAAAGAAAGCGUAAUAGCUCACUGGUCGAGUCGGCCUGCGCGGAAGAUGUAACGGGGCUAAACCAUGCACCGAAGCUGCGGCAGCGAACGUAUCACUUAAAGCGAUUCAGCGGAUGACGAUUGACGGAGCGAAGCGACGUCAAAGCGUAUACAAAGUCGAGUCGGUUUAAGGAUACGUUCGUUGGGUAGGGGAGCGUUCUGUAAGCCUGCGAAGGUGGCCUGUGAGGGUUGCUGGAGGUAUCAGAAGUGCGAAUGCUGACAUAAGUAACGAUAAAGCGGGUGAAAAGCCCGCUCGCCGGAAGACCAAGGGUUCCUGUCCAACGUUAAUCGGGGCAGGGUGAGUCGACCCCUAAGGCGAGGCCGAAAGGCGUAGUCGAUGGGAAACGGGUUAAUAUUCCCGUACUUGGUGUUACUGCGAAGGGGGGACGGAGAAGGCUAUGUUGGCCGGGCGACGGUUGUCCCGGUUUAAGCGUGUAGGUGUGUGUUCCAGGUAAAUCCGGUUCACUUUAACACUGAGGCGUGACGACGAGGCACUACGGUGCUGAAGCAACAAAUGCCCUGCUUCCAGGAAAAGCCUCUAAGCAUCAGGUAACAUCAAAUCGUACCCCAAACCGACACAGGUGGUCAGGUAGAGAAUACCAAGGCGCUUGAGAGAACUCGGGUGAAGGAACUAGGCAAAAUGGUGCCGUAACUUCGGGAGAAGG
rnacentral:rRNA from 1 species